rnacentral:rRNA from 1 species
GACGAACGCUGGCGGCGUGCUUAACACAUGCAAGUCGAACGGAAAGGCCCUGCUUUUGUGGGGUGCUCGAGUGGCGAACGGGUGAGUAACACCUGAGUAACCUGCCCUUGACUUUGGGAUAACUUCAGGAAACUGGGGCUAAUACCGGAUAGGAGCUCCUGCUGCAUGGUGGGGGUUGGAAAGUUUCGGCGGUUGGGGAUGGACUCGCGGCUUAUCAGCUUGUUGGUGGGGUAGUGGCUUACCAAGGCUUUGACGGGUAGCCGGCCUGAGAGGGUGACCGGCCACAUUGGGACUGAGAUACGGCCCAGACUCCUACGGGAGGCAGCAGUGGGGAAUAUUGCACAAUGGGCGGAAGCCUGAUGCAGCAACGCCGCGUGCGGGAUGACGGCCUUCGGGUCGUAAACCGCUUUCGCCUGUGACGAAGCGUGAGUGACGGUAAUGGGUAAAGAAGCACCGGCUAACUACGUG